UUAUACUACGGUGGCUUCUAUAUGGCUCCAGAUAAGUAUAGUUUACAAUUAUAUUGCAAUUUAUAACAUGACAAUAGUCUUUGACACUUGAAUAAUGUACUUAACUAUGCAGGUUGCAACACGAUCUAAUUGCGUAACGAUAUUCCAAGUUCUCCAAAUAUCGUAUAUGUUAAGUAUGUCCGUAUUUCUGCAAAAAGGUGACAAUAUGUCUAAAUUGUAACAAUAUUUUUUAUGUUGUGUCUACUUUCUCAUUAUUCCUUUCAUGUUAUAUAUCUAUAUGUCCAAGCAAUGUAUCAAUUCCCGAUAUGUACAUACUAUGCUGUAAACCAGUGUUCCUGGUUAUUUGAUUAAUUGUCGCCAUUCAAUGUCGUUUCCGAUUAAUAAUAAAUGUAUGACGUCAUAUGUUUUUAAAACAUAGUUUUAGAAUUACAAAAAAACAACAUGUGUUGGCUUUUAUGUGAUUUAAUAUAUAUAUAUCAUACCAUUACUGUUUCAAAUAUAUGUAUUAUUUAACUUUAGUCGGUAACUGUCAAGUACCAAAUCCAAAAAUAAAACUAAAAAUUUUGAGCAUUUGUUGUCAUAGGAAUCAUAUGACAAAUGGCAGUCGUCUUAUAAAAGUGGAAAAAGGUGAUAGUUGCAAUGUUUGAAAAUUGUUAUCAAGAUGCAUAAAUAACACUCAGUCUGUUAUUUUGCUUAUAAAAAAAUAAAAAAAAAAACUUGAAUACUUUCAUUUGAUAAAUUAUGUGUUCAGUCAUUAAUCUAUUAGCCAAUAGGAUUAACAUUACAAAAUGUGGUAGAAUUGCCAAUAAGACAGCUACCCAAUAUAGAGUAAAUUAUGUUGAUGGUAGUUGCAAUAAGUCACAUUACAGGCUUUUGCAAUAGUGAGAAAUACAAAUACCGUAUAUUAAGUAAGCUAAACAAAAUCCCAAAAAGACAAUAUGUGAACCGUUUCAAACUAUAGAACUUACACUGUUAGGUCCGAUAGGUAAAUAAAUUUUGACAAAAGUCCGACGAUGAUAUAAUAUGUUCUCAUUGUAGCUGUACCUGUGGAAAAUUGAUGGAUUUCAUAAGACAAAAGUGACAGCCAGUAAUAAACGUUAGCGAAACUACGAAAUGAUGGAAAACACUUCCUUCCGAUGCAAAAACAAUAUUAAACAAUCUGAAUAUAUAGUUUCCUUGUCUUAUUUGCAUGCACGUUUUAUGUUUAAAAUAUAUAUGUUUCUGAUACAUCAAAAUAGAAACUUUACAUUGUUUUUCCUAAAAUCUGUUUCAACCACAAAAGAGUUAUGUCGUACGUGUUGCAUCACACGAAUCAUUCAUACUUUGAUAUUGUCUUAUGUCAGAUAAUUAUUAAAUGCUCUCUCAUGACUGAGUAUUAUAUCAAAUUCAAAAUAAUUAGCUACACUUCUAACCAAUCAAGUGUAAUAUAACUACAAUUUAUAUCCUAAUGUCCGUUACUCAUUCAAAUUGAUUUCACUUUUCUAUUUAUCCUACCGAUAAUGUUAUUAUAGAACUUAACGUAUUGAAAAAGCAUUUUAUAUUGUCGGAAUAGUCUUGAAGCAAUUGAUUAGAGGCAAAUCAAUAUUGUAGACUUUUAUAGUACUUCAAGUUGUUAUUAAAAUUGUACACAAUAUGUCUAUAACCUUACAAUGUAUUUCUUAAUGUGAAUUCAAUUAUCAUACAUAUAUUUGAUGUAUACGUUGUUUCUGUCAUUAAACUAGUAAACAUGUAGAUUGAAAUUGUAUUAUAUUUAACGCGCGGGACUACUAUAAAUAUUUAUAUGUAUAUGCAUGUUAGUUUUCUUGUUUUAUAAAAUGUAAUGAUUA